rnacentral:rRNA from 1 species
UACGAAGGGUGCAAGCGUUACUCGGAAUUACUGGGCGUAAAGCGUGCGUAGGCGGUGAGUUAAGUCUGUCGUGAAAGCCCCGGGCUCAACCUGGGAAUGGCGAUGGAUACUGGCUCGCUAGAGUGCGGUAGAGGGUGGUGGAAUUCCCGGUGUAGCAGUGAAAUGCGUAGAGAUCGGGAGGAACAUCAGUUGCGAAGGCGGCCACCUGGACCAGCACUGACACUGAGGCACGAAAGCGUGGGGAGCAAACAGG